rnacentral:piRNA from 1 species
UAGUUCCUGGUCUUUAAUUUGCCAGAGAUCU